rnacentral:rRNA from 1 species
UACGUAGGUGGCAAGCGUUGUCCGGAUUUAUUGGGGUUAGAGGGUGCGUAGGCGGUCUUAUAAGUCAGUGCUGAAAUAUCCCGGCUUAACCGGGAGGGUGGCAUUGAUACUGCAGGACUUGAGUAUAGUCGAGGUAGGCGGAAUUGACGGUGUAGCGGUGAAAUGCUUAGAUAUCGUCAAGAACACCGAUAGUGUAGACAGUUUACUAGGCUAUAACUGACGCUGAGGCACGAAAGUGUGGGGAUCAAACAGG